GCCAGGCAUAGUGGUGCACACCUGUAAUCCCAGUUACUUGAGAAGCUGAGGCAGGAGGAUCGCUGGAGCCCAGGUUUUCAAGACCUGCCUAGGCAAUACAGCGAGAAUCCAUCUCAA
rnacentral:sRNA from 1 species